UGCCUCAACAAGAAUGGAGCGCUCGAACGGAGAAUUUAGCAGAGUUUUUAGAUAAAAAGAUGAGAGCUUAUAGAAUAACGUAUCUGGGGUUUUUCUUUUAUAGACGGAGGGGGCAGCAGAUUGACAGCGAUGCCUGUAACCGUCUGGCAGACGGCUGUCCAGAGUCAGGCGGAAUUUACUGCGAAGAGUAGUGGAGUAGACCCGUGGCUAUUGCUAUGGCCUGCCAUGUGGAGCCU
rnacentral:lncRNA from 1 species